ACAUGUCAUUUCUGCUCGUGAGA
rnacentral:snRNA from 1 species